rnacentral:rRNA from 1 species
UUACCACCUUGACAUGUACGGAACCCUUAGAGAUAGAGGGUGCUCGAAGAGAGCCGUAACACAGGUGCUGCAUGGCUGUCGUCAGCUCGUGUCGUGAGAUGUUGGGUUAAGUCCCGCAACGAGCGCAACCCUUGUCAUUAGUUGCUACAUUCAGUUGGGCACUCUAAUGAGACUGCCGGUGAUAAGCCGGAGGAAGGUGGGGAUGACGUCAAGUCCUCAUGGCCCUUAUAGGUGGGGCUACACACGUCAUACAAUGGCUGGUACAAAGGGUUGCCAACCCGCGAGGGGGAGCCAAUCCCAUAAAGCCAGUCGUAGUCCGGAUCGUAGUCUGCAACUCGACUACGUGAAGUCGGAAUCGCUAGUAAUCGUGGAUCAGAAUGUCACGGUGAAUACGUUCCCGGGUCUU